GUUGAACAUCUUUGUGAAGACUGGAGCAAGUUGGUCUGUGCAGACUUUAAGCCAGGAUGGGGACACAAGGUCUGGGCCCGGUGUUUUGUUGAACUUUUGUUGUUUGAAGAUUUGCCAGUCCCUUUCAUAGAUGCUAAACGGUGUAGUCGAAGGUAGUGCAGCUUCUGGUGCAGCCUGGUGGGUACGUGGUGUGGGAGUAUCUAUUUCGAAUCUGCAGUAAAAGCUAUUUAGGUAAUCGGCUAGCCCCCUCUUGUUUUCUUCUGGGGGAAAACAUUGCUUGUAAUUAGUGAGUAAUUGUAAUUCGUGCCAGACUGAUUUGGAGUCAUUAGCGCCAAGAUGGUUUUCCAGUUUAGCAGCAUGGUCCCUCUUUGCAAUGUUAACUUCUUUAGUCAGCUGGUUUUUAGUGCAAUUGUAGAGGGCCCUAUCCCCACUGCGAUAUACGACCUCUUUUUAACCGAUUUUUACCAAAGGCUUCACCCUCUUAAGUGCUUGUCUGUGUGUAGGCAUCAAGUAGAGUAAGCAGUGAUCAGAGGACCUUAGGGGAGCACAGGGAAUUGCGUGAUAUGCGUUUUUACUGGAAGUAUAACAGUGGUCUCGACUGUUAUUUUUCCCUCGUCAGACAUUUCACGUCCUGCUUGUAUUUGGGGAGUUAAAGGUUAAGUCCUGAAAUUCGAAAUCUGAAAUCCGUUAUGAAGGAAACAUUUUUAUUUUUUGAUUAUCUGCAAUAAAUGAUCGCACAUUGGUGGAUUUGCCGGAAAAAGAUGGAAACGAAGCGGAAAAACCAGAGAGGGAUGUGACGUCAGACCUGGUGACAUCAUGGCAGCCAUUGGAAUCCAUUGUAAGAAUGACGAUGAAUUUUCUGAUAUUUCUAGUGAUGAACAUAAUUCUGAAGGCAUUAAAAGUUAUCAAUUUGAGCCUCUUUGACAGCACACUUUCGAAAUAGCUGAUGAUGCAGGUGGCGACACAGCUAGGAGGACAUGCUCGUUUUGGAUACCCGGGACCGGGCUCGCGGGAGUGCUGGAGCCUAUCCCAGCUGUCAUCAAGCAGAAUGAACUGGAGAUCCCGGAGAAAACCCACACAGGCACAGGGAGAACAUGCAAACUCCACACAGGUUAAUCCAACAUACUGUUUAAAGACAGCCUGUGAGAUGGUGUUGGAGAAUUGUUGGCAGAAAUAGCCGCAUGCCACUUCCAUCCUACUUUGUGUCAAAGAGUACACACAGAUCACUGGCCAGCCAAUAUCUCCAGCAGGACUUGGACUUGCUCCAAGUGGUGUUCUUGGAGCUUCACUGGAUGGAAUCGUUGAGGUCAAGUGCCCCUGGUCAGCCAGAAAUGAAACAAUCACCCCAGCAAGUGGCUGAGAAGGACUUUUAUAACCAAUAGGUCAUAGGUUACUGCCUCAUCGAAGCUAAAAAUUGACUUUGCUUACUGGCACCAGAUACAGGGUUAUCUGUACUUGGCAGGUGUUACAAGUGUGACUUUGUGGUGUGUACUCUGUGAUGAGUGAUUCAUCCUCGACUUGGAACCUGGAUGUACUUAACACAAAACUAUUUUCCUGCCAAAUGUUUUACAUUUGUAAAAAUGUCAGUCUGAAUGUGUUUAAAGCCCAGGUGUCAUGCCUAUAAACAUUCUAAAACAGAUAUUGUAAUGAAAAAUACAUAUUAUUCACUUCAAUGUCGAAAAAAUAAAUAUGAGCGGAGAGCGUGUCAUCCUUGCGCAAAGUUGCGGUCUCAUUCGACAUUCAAGUAGUAGUUAUAUUGGCUGGAUCUUCUGUCCGUGACAUUACACUGACAUUCGCCAUUCAAAACACGCUGUGCCACCUACUAUGGGAGACGAACACGCCCCUUCUGACACGGAAGCUCUUUUUGAAGAAGAGAACUUCUCCGAGUGAAGUGACCGGGGCAAUAUUACCCUAUCAUUUCGAGCCAUAUUUCGAUUAUAUGCAGAUCACGGCCAAACCACCUCCCCACCCAAUCCACCUCCACGGUGGCGGUGAACAACGGCGCCUGCGGCUGCAAGUGACGACAACGUCACCCCCGAGCAACGACAACGGCGCAGCCAAACCGCCUCCCCGUCCAAUCCACCUCAGCGGCGGUGAUAAACAACGACGCCUGCGAGCGAAGAUGACAGCGCGGCCAAACCGCCUCCCCAUCUGAUCCACCUCCGCGGCGGUCAUAAAAACAACGCCACCUGCGAGCGACGACAAUGACGCCACAGCCAAACCACCUCUUCGUCCGAUCCACCUCCGUGGCAGAGAUGAACCACUGCAGCUCGGCGCCGCGUCCGCCGAUCAAGGCUUGGCACACAGACACAUUUAGCACCCCUUAUUUAGGGAUUACGUCCCCAACCCCAACUAUUAUUAUUUGAGUCGCAGUAUACACACCGACCUGUCAUUUGGAACCCACGGAGCUCUUGUCCUUUGCACCUCUGCAAUCCAUUUUUCACAACGAACUGAGUUUUUUUGGAAAAGUAUGAAAAGCGAAUCCAUCCUCCCGAGUGUUCGAGCAAUAUCCAGCAACGCAACGAGCCGGCAUUUUGGCUAACAUGAAGGAACAACGAGCUACCAUCCAGCAGGUAAAACUAGUAUAAACAGACGAGACCGCUUGAGUGCGCUACUGCCCUGAACGUCACUUCCUGCUUCUUCUCGAAAAGAAAUUCCUCGAGAGGAUUUUUAUGGC